UUCUUUUUAUGACUACACAAAAGAGUAUAAAAAUCUUCAUAGUAAAUAGCAAUCCCAAGUGACAAAGAGAAUGCGGUGUUCUGGUGGCCUGGCUGUUCUUUCCUGGUUGGUGGCUUUGUGCAUGAGAGUCAGCAUUUUCCAUCUUUCCAGGAGAGGGACCAAGCUCCGCCACACCAAGGAGCUUUCCCAGGUUAAAUAAGUGAUGUCCAGCCUGCGCCUGCCGCUGUUUGGGCAUCUGAGACCCUCACCUGUCCCCUGCAGUCCCCAGAGUUUUCCACUGUGCCGCAAUCCCCCUUUUCCAGGACACAGACCAGGCCUUGGCCACCAGGACCCGCCUGCAGCAGACAUUGAUCAACAGCAACCUUGGGGGCUGCUGACCACGUUGACACGCAGCAGGUGGCCUCUUGGAAACAGCCGGGGCUGGCGGAGGGUCAGAUCCUGCAGGAAACACGGAACCCAAACAGGAAUCACUGGUCUGUACUCGCUGGAGUUUGGAAGGACAGAUGGGGUGUCCUUGGUCAGAGAACGCAACUGUGCUAUUUCAAAACUCUCGCCAAGAGGCCCAUCUGAGGAGACGGGGCCAGGCAGCAGCGCGGCUAGGGAAGGUCAACUCUGAGUCCUAAAGUGCUGGGAUAAAUCUAGGAGCAAAAGAAGGACAGAGGACAUCCCCAGGCAGUGCCAAAAGGGGAUAUAGAGAAAUAAUUCAUUCCCAUCAGGAGAAGUGUUCACCUUUGCCAGAAAUCAAAGAAGUGCAAAUAACGAGAAGAUACAAUUUGGUGUCUUUCAGGCUGGCAAAAGUUUUAAAAAUGUAUAAUAUCCCAGAUUAAAAGUGAUUCAAGAGACUUGCCAGCUAAAUGCAAUGUGUGAUCCUGCAUUUGGAUCCUGGAUGCCAGGAAACUGUGGAGGACGUUAUUGGAACACUUGGUAAAAUACUGAAUAUGGAUUGCAAAAUUGUGGUAUUGUAUCAGGGUAAAUUUACUGAUUUUUAUUUUUAUUUUUUUGUAAUUGUAUGUGGUUAUGUAAGAGGUUGUUAGGAAAAGCCACAUCGACAUACCUAAGGUAUGAUCCAGCAGCCUACUCAGAGGCUCAGAAAGAAAAACUGUGCAGGAGGGAGGAGGUGGCGGAGGAGCCCGAGAAGGAGAACAGGUGGGGAGUUCUCUGCACUCUUCUUGCAAGCUUUCUGCAAAUUUAAAAUCAUAUAAAAAUGUUUUUUAAAAAGAAAAAAGUUCACGAUGCUCAGUGCUGGCAAAGCUUCAGGAAACGGGCAGGCGUUCUGGAGAAGCCAGGGAGAAGCAGUGGGAAUUUUCACCUGGCAAGGCCACUUCCAGGUCGCGGUCCGAAGAAAGGACCUCAGAAGGCUGCGUCAGAUGUGGCAGAUCAUGCCAUGGAGUAGCACUUGGCCUCUCAAGGACAGAAACUCUGACCUAGGCUGCAACAUGGAUGACCCCUGAGGACAGUGGGCCAAGUGUAGUAAGCCAGCAGCGACACCAUGUGAUCCCACUUAUGGAGUCGUCAAAUGCAGAGACAAGGGGAAAGCAUAACCCAUGCCUCCCAGGGCAGGCAGAGGGGAGCGGAGUUAGUAUUUAAUGGCUACAGAGUUUCAGUUUC
rnacentral:lncRNA from 1 species